AGCGAACACUGGCGGCAGGCCUAACACAUGCAAGUCGAACGAAGUCUUCGGACUUAGUGACGGACGGGUGAGUAACACGUGGGAACGUACCUUUUGGUUCGGAACAACUCAGGGAAACUUGAGCUAAUACCGGAUGAGCCCUUAGGGGGAAAGAUUUAUCGCCGAAAGAGCGGCCCGCGUUAGAUUAGCUAGUUGGUGAGGUAAAGGCUCACCAAGGCUACGAUCUAUAGCUGGUCUGAGAGGAUGAUCAGCCACACUGGGACUGAGACACGGCCCAGACUCCUACGGGAGGCAGCAGUGGGGAAUCUUGCGCAAUGGGCGAAAGCCUGACGCAGCCAUGCCGCGUGAAUGAUGAAGGUCUUAGGAUUGUAAAAUUCUUUUACCAGGGACGAUAAUGACGGUACCUGGAGAAAAAGCCCCGGCUAACUUCGUGCCAGCCGCCGCAGUAACAC
rnacentral:rRNA from 1 species